UAUGUUUUGGACUCCUUACAUACACCAGUGGGGAAUUUAAGGAUUCCUCUCUGCUCCAGCUGGCUGCCUGCUUGUACAAAACUUGCAGGAAUUCAAUUCGCUUUUAAGCCCACUCUCCAGCAGCCAAAUCAAAUCAACUGGUAUUUUCAACAGUUAUCUGAGGAUGCACAGAACAUGAUCACCCUAUUUCCUGAGGAAACCAGACUAGCAAUUGCUACUUCUAGGAGCUAAUCACUUGCAAUGGAUGUAUGAAAUAAAUGGGAAAAUGAGAAGAUGGCAGAAAGGCCAAAGUUAGGUUACAGGAGACAUCUGGGCUCUCACCUUUCUGCAUGGGUGGCUACUGGAGUUCUGGAUGGAAAGAAACCCCAGAUUUAAAGAACUUCUGUGGCAUGUUUUGGCCGAAUGAAAAGCAACAGCAAACAGGUGCUAGUGGCUGAAUGGUAGGAAAUGUAGCCCACAAUGACAGAGACUGUGGAGCUAGGACUACUCACAUGUAGUUUCAUGUAUCCAUUAGACAAUGUCACAUAUUCCAUUUGAUCAAAUGAAGAUGAGCCUGGAAUAAAUAAAUGUGAGAAUUACUAGCUGAAGUGGUAACAAAUCAGACACAUAUGCUUUGUCUCUAGAAAAAAACUGCUCCUCUUCCUCUAUCUGCAUCAACAGCAGGAGCUGGCUCUUACCAGCUCUUUCCCUUUUCUGGCUCUCUGCUGUCUGAGCUACCUUGUUCCAGGGGAGCUUUUUCCCCACUGGCUAAGCCUGAUGCUUGAAGGCCCAUGGAGGCUUUAAAGCUGCUUACAGAUUGCAAAGUGACCUUUUUUAGACUUCAGACUGAGAUAGACUCAUGUGAACUCAGAGUCUCUGAACAUGGGUAGCAAAUUGUCUUUCAUAUUUCCAAGCUGUCAUAUAGUCAUUAGUUAUAAAUAAUAAAUGUCACAUGGCUUGCAAAAUACAUAUCCAGCCUAUUUAAGAAUGCUUAAUGCUUGUGGUAAGUUUUUUAUCUCUGAGUAUUUUCAUCUUAACUAGUGGCUUCAGCCAUUGGCCUCAGAACUGCCUAUAGGAAGGAAGGAGAAAGGUAAAUAUCAUCCAUUAUACUCUUAAAAGGUGAAGAAAAGAGAAGGACUAAGCCAAAGACAGAGCUUGGAUGAGACCCAGGAGGAAUGAGGGUGGACUUGUGCAUGCAUUAGCCAUCAUGGUUGCAGUCUUUGCAGAAAGGCUGUGCUUUAUGCCUGCUUGUUGCCAGACACCGGGCAGGAAGAUUUUCUGCAAGCCCCAUCCUCAGCAUCUGGCCUCUGGGAAAGGCAGGACAGGAGGCAGAGCGGGUCCCCACUCCUCCCAGCUGCACCCCAGUGCUGACUGCCGUGCCAGUCUGCAAGGCAGGCAGCGGAUACACAUCUUGGCUCCACGUGAAUAUUGCAUGAUUCCUCUUUCCUCUCUCCAGUUCACUAAGCUCUCAUUUCCUAUGCCUCUGCUAGCACAGUUCAGGCUGAAAAAUAGUCUUCGUAAUGCCCAAGCUUGUUUGCUUUCUUUGGGGAUGUUUAUUCAAUAUCUCCUCACUAAUGAGUCAGGUUUUUUCUAUGAUCCACAAGGCAUCAAUAUUGCAUGUGCUCAGAGACCUGAAGGCUAAGAAACACACGGAUGCUAAGCACUGUGUAUUUCAAGCGGCAAGUGUUUUGUUAACAGCAACAGCUAAACAAGCCAGGGAGCAGCCUGAACUUCUGGAGUCAAAGCGAGAUCAAAGCACAUAAAGGUUAAUGGGCAAAAUGCCACAGGAGCCAUUCUGCAGUGGGAAUUUAUGAUUUACAAGCGUACCAAGAAAAGACUGCUUUAAUCACUAGAUUACGCUAAGUACUUGCCAAUUUUAAUACAGUAAACCACAAUUUUUUUUUCUUACUUCAGCAUCAAAAAACUUCCCUUUUUAAAUAUAGAAACAUAUAAUCAGAUUCUUAUCAAAUGCUUUCCCCCUCCUUCCCCAAGAAAAGUAUUCAUAAUAUUAAUAACACCAUCAAGAUCUCUGAGAAAGGGGUGCAGAGGAUUGGGGCAGAUUUUACCUCUUCUUCCCUGUCCCUAUCCUGUUUUGUGCCUCCUAUGACUAUUUGCUUGGAGGCACUUGUCCCAUUUGCCUGUGCUGCCCUCUGGAUUAUUUUCCCCAUGACUUGGUGCUGUCCUCUGAGCACAGAAAUCCCCUGAUGCUCUCCCCAGUAGCCCUGUGUACCUCAGUUGCCCAGCACGCUCCUUGGACAACAACUUUGCCAAAACAAGGGGGCAGGGGAUGUUGAGGAGCCCCCCAACCACAUGUCCCUGGUGCCAAGGACAUGCCACCCAGAGGGUCACCCCACAGCCAAGGGAAGCUGCUGCAGGAGAGAGGCAGCAACCCUGGCUCACCACCUCCUGAAAAUGGCAUGCUAAAAAUUCUAUUGUGCACUUAAAUGGUAUUUAUAGACACCAUCAAUCACAGAGGUCCUAAACGCAUUAAAUCAAAAUUAGUUUAAAAACCAGUGUUCUUCAAGACUCCUAAAAACGGCUCAAAAAGAUGAUAUCAUUAUAGCCCUCUCCUAAAUUUCAUGGUUUUGUGUAGGUCUCUGAUGCUCAGCAGGGCUUGGUUUACACUGAGGCUCAGCACCUGGCACUGGUAUCCAUCAAAAAGGGGAACAGAGACAGCAGGAAGCACACUCAGACUGACCCUUUCUGUUACAGGGAACAGGGCUCACAGCUCCCUUACCUUAAUGAAAUGAGUCAGUGAUGUAACACCAGUACAGAUUUAGUGUAGAAUAAGCUAGACUCAGUCUCACAACCUUCAGAAUUGGUAAAAAUCAAAAGAGACCACAAAACCAGAGCCCAGUCUCUAAGCCAAGGCAAACAGCUGACCUUUUGCUCUGUUUUUAAACUCCAACCUGCCCCUCCCUGUCCCUGACCAUAACUGGGCACAGCUGGGUGCCCACUGCUCGCCUCCAGCCCAGGGGAGGUUGAGGCAGCAAACAGAAAACAUAUGUGAACUACAGACCUCUCUAAAUUAGCUGUAUGCAGUAUUUUUCAUUCUUGAUGUGGUAGCAUUUUAGGCAGUGUUGGAGCGCUCACAGGGGUGCAGUUUCUUUGGCUAAAGCUUGCUUUUUGGCCAUCUGAACCUAAUUUAUGCAGCUGUAGCAGAUGUGCCGUAGCCGAGGACACAGGGAUAGCAGCAGGCAGUAGCAGUAUACCAGAGCAGAGUGAUAGGCACAGCUCCUCAGUCAUCAGUGGACAUGUAUAUUGCUAUCCUGAGUUUGACUCUUCGGUCUAAAAUGAGUUACCCCCUUGAGUUUGGAUUUUCCUGGCUACUUGUGUUUUUAUUUAUGUUUACCAAUUCAUCAGUGCUGCUUGCAAAAAUAAGAUAGCACUUACAAGCUACUCUCAAGAGAAAAAGCAUUUCACAUUCCGAGUUUUACUGGAGCGAUGGUACUAGAAGCAGAAAUAAUGCAUAAGUUAGUGAGUCUCAUUGCAGUAAUGCUGCUUAUUCCCUGCAUAACUAACCUGCAAGGGUGGAGGAAUAUUAAGUACCAUGUAGGCCACUGAUUUUCUUAUUCAUGCAAAACCUCCACUGCAAGUUUAAGCAACGCCUAUACCUAUCGUGCAACAGAGUAAGCUGUGAUGCAGUUUGCUUUCUCUUCAUUAAUGUAAUUUGUUUCUAUCCCUUCCUCAGCUCCUCCUUUUUAUUUUCU